CAACUAAAAUCAGUCAACCAUUUUAGGCUGGUUUUAACGGGGUUUUGUCACAGUUGGUAAACCGUGAUCUCUGGGUUUUGCACUUUGUGGUGAAGUCUGUGUGUUUCGCGUCUGCACUGAUUAGCUUGUGGGCGUCUCCGUUAAUUGUCAUCAGCAGCAGCUGUCACUCAUCACUCUCUCCCUAUAUAAUGGCUUGUCUCACGUCUUGUGUUUGUGAGUGUUUCAUGUUUGGUAACUGUUCUUUGCUUCUGUGUUGUUCUGCGUUGGAUGUCCGUGUCUUCCCCCGGAACCUCAUCCACUCAUCGCACCUUCACAAGCAUCACCACUUACCUUCGGCUCGAUCCUCUCCUGCUGCCAACUCACCAUCACCAUCUGGAUUACUCACCGUCUCCCACCAUCUUGGAUUGUCGUCUUCCCAGCGUUGUUUGUAUUCUUGUUUGUUUUGUUUGGUUUUCAUUAAAUUGUUCAUACUCGCACUUGUUUCCAGCUUCUCCUUCACCCAGUCGUCACAGGUUUUUUAUUCAGCAGGGAAAUGCAAUAACAUUGCAUGUGUCCUUUAACCAACCUCCACUGACUAUACACUGACUUCAUUUAACCAACUAUGAUUAGGCCUAUACAAACUCAUGGUUUUGGUUAGUGUUUUGUCAUCUGUAUUCACAUUACAUUUUCUAAGUGACAAUUUGUUCUCAAAUGGGAAAAAGCCACUCAGAUCACACAGUAAAUUUGCUCAAAGAUCGUUAAUACACAUUGAAAACUAACAUUGCCAUGCUAUUUUCAACACGAAAACUGGUAAAAACUUUAGAAACUCUUAAUAUAAAUUCCAACAAUUCCAAUUUAUGUACAUAUUCCCCAUUGUAUUGUCAAUGGUAGGAAAAGCGCAUUAUUCCUCAAACACAUUAUUGAAACUUGGUGAAAGUUUGAUCAUGGCACAUUUGGUAACACAAACUGUACAAAUGGCUUGUGAAAAAACACAUAUUGUCUAUAUGACAAUUUCAUGUAAGCAGAAUAUCGCUGUGGAGGAGAGAUCGCUAAACUCGUAUGUUUUCAUUAGUGAGUGCACAGGGUUGCCAGAUUGCACAAAUUAAAUAAAACACCGGGCAGAAAGUGUAUCCUUAAAGGA
ensembl:lncRNA